AUGUCGAUUUCCGUCUCAGUCUUCUGCCCAAGACAUUUUUUCAUUCAUCACAACAAUGUCAAAACAACCCAGCUAGAUAAACAAAAGGAUGUUGCGACCAAUACUGGACCUAAAUCGGGUACAGAAGAUCGUGGAGAUCUGAAUGAUCCUCGUGUGAGACUAAAGCGUGAUUGUGUUAGAAUUCUUGCUGCAUUCAAAUUCAAAGGUCCCCCUCAUCAGUUUCUUAUUGUAGCCAACACACAUAUUUAUUGGUAA